rnacentral:lncRNA from 1 species
UCGACCUCGAAAUUUUCCGGUACUAAGUGGCAAGUUUUGGGGUAUUACACAAAAUCUUGAAUUAAUUUUGUUCUUAUCGGCCUAAUAAUUUAAAGAAUUAUAUAUCAGAAAAUCAUUUCUUAAGCGGCACCCUCAUCAAAUGAGUGGAAAUGCUUUAAAUUGGAUGAAUUCUUAACUUGUUUACUUUUUUUUCUAUUUCUCUCCGCUUCGUUAGUACCCAAUUUCCGGUGGCGAUGAUACACAGUGUAUUUAU